rnacentral:rRNA from 1 species
UACGGAGGGUGCAAGCGUUAUCCGGAUUCACUGGGGUUUUAAAGGGUGCGUAGGUGGGCAGGUAAGUCAGUGGUGAAAAUCUCUGGGGCUUAAACCCCGGGAAAACUGCCCGUUUGAUUACUAUCUGUCUUUGAAUGUAGUGGAGGGUGAGCGGAAUAAUGUCAUGUAGCGGUGAAAAAUGCUUUAGAUAUGACAUAGAAACAUCGAUUUGCGAAAGGCAGCUCACUACGGGGAAAUAUUUGACGCUGAGGCACGAAAAGCGUGGGGGAUCAAAACAGG